rnacentral:rRNA from 1 species
GACGAACGCUGGCGGCGUGCCUAACACAUGCAAGUCGAGCGGUAAGGCCCUUUCGGGGGUACGACGAGCGGCGAACGGGUGAGUAACACGUGGGUGACCUGCCCUUAGCUCUGGGAUAAGCCUGGGAAACUGGGUCUAAUACCGGAUAUGACUCCAUGACGCAUGUUGUGGGGUGGAAAGCCUUGUGCGGCUAGGGAUGGGCCCGCGGCCUAUCAGCUUGUUGGUGGGGUGAUGGCCUACCAAGGCGACGACGGGUAGCCGGCCUGAGAGGGCGACCGGCCACACUGGGACUGAGACACGGCCCAGACUCCUACGGGAGGCAGCAGUGGGGAAUCUUGCGCAAUGGGCGAAAGCCUGACGCAGCGACGCCGCGUGGGGAGUGACGGCC